rnacentral:misc_RNA from 1 species
GAUAUUUUGCUACAUCAAAAAGGUAAUAUGAUGAAUUACUUCUUAUUGAUAAUGCUGACAAAUAAUGGCAAGUUGAUGAAAACCAGUUUUGGGAUACGAGAUACUGUUAUGCUGUAGAGGUUUGCUCUGGUUGAACUCCAUAAAUCAAACCUACGAUGAUGAUAUCUUGGUUAUAUAUGGUUUUCAAUAUGGAUAUUGGCAUUGCCAACCAAAAUCAUAAAGUUAGGAGUUGUCUAAUAAAUGUACUUAAUAGGUAGUAGCAAUACCAAGU